rnacentral:rRNA from 1 species
AAAACAAGUUCCGUGGUGAACCAGCGGAGGGAUCAUUA